rnacentral:lncRNA from 1 species
AUCAUUUGAAAAUAGAAGUUUUGGAAAUUAAAUUUUGAAAAUUAAAGAUUCGGGAAAUUAUUUAAAAAUGGUAUUUUUAGGAAUUAAAUUUGAAAAUUGGAAUAGAAAUGAGAUUAUUCGAGAAACCGGGAUUUUAAGAAUCAUUUAAAAAGAAUUUGCGAAAAUCAAACUUUGACAUGUGAGAAAAAAGAAAAAAAAA